rnacentral:rRNA from 1 species
UACGGAGGGUGCAAGCGUUAUCCGGAUUCACUGGGUUUAAAGGGUGCGUAGGCGGGCAGGUAAGUCCGUGGUGAAAUCUCGGAGCUUAACUCCGAAACUGCAUUCGAUACUACCGUGCUUGAGGACUGGAGAGGAGACUGGAAUUUACGGUGUAGCGGUGAAAUGCGUAGAUAUUCGGAAGAACACCAGUGGCGAAGGCGACUCACUGGACACAUAUUGACGCUGAGGUGCGAAAGCGUGGGGAGCAAACAGG